rnacentral:rRNA from 1 species
UACGUAGGGGGCAAGCGUUAUCCGGAAUCACUGGGCGUAAAGGGUGCGUAGGCGGCCAAUAAAGUCUAGGGUGAAAGGCUACGGCUCAACCGUAGUAAGCCUUAGAAACUUAUUGGCUUGAGUGCAGGAGAGGAGAGUGGAAUUCCUAGUGUAGCGGUGAAAUGCGUAGAUAUUAGGAGGAACACCAGUGGCGAAGGCGACUCUCUGGACUGUAACUGACGCUGAGGCACGAAAGCGUGGGGAGCGAACAGG